UGAGGGCAUGCAGAAUGUUCUAUUCUGUUUCAAGAUGCAAUAUUCACAAUGUUUAAAAUAUUUGGCUUUCCAGGAUCGGAUCAUGUCCUGAAAUAACCCCACAUUAACUGUUCUAUUCACUCACGUACUCUGACCAAAAAUUGUGUUAGAUCGCUACCGUGUGGAUGAUAAUGCGUGCAAAGUGAAAGUGAAACAAAAAGUGGAAUUUCAGGGGAAAUCCAACGACCAAAACACUUCUUCGUGAAGAAAAGGCCUUCGUGAAAACUUAAAACUGCAGACAGAUUGGUACAACUGUCCAUCGACAACAAUCAUGGCAAAUAUUUCGACAAUUUACAAGCUUUCUUUGCUUGCACUAACUUACUUCAUGCACGUCGGUGCGUCGACUUGCCCGGUUCUGGAGUGCUGGUUCGUGCAAGAGAAGCCAGGCAGAGGGUUCCCUGCGGCUAUGACCCAGGAGAAAUCUCUGUUGGUCAUCGGAACCGACCCAGAAAUCCAGGGAACCGGGUCACUGAAACCAUCGUCAGACAUAAACCCAGAGAGGGUCUACUACAUCACAGACCCUGCUGCCACCUUCUGCCACUCCUCUCUCCACCCACCAGGGGGUGCUGUGGAGAAACCCCAGUGUGAGCUCAACCCCUUCCUGCCUCAGCCCUCCACCGUCCAAUGGGCCACUCCGCUAACAGACUCUGCCCUCAGCCCCGUCUACCUGCAAGCUGAUUGGUACUCUGCUGCCUUGCAGGGCCUUGACAGACAGCUGACCCUGUCCAGUGUCAUGCGUGCUCCCACGGCAACUACAGAACCCCAAGUGAUCCUCAGUGUGUCCAGCAGAACCGUGAGGGUCCAGUCCAGACUGGGAGAACCGGUUCUCCUGGACUGUGGGUUCUGGGUGGACCCCUCCUCUCCCCUCUCCGGGUCGGGCUUUGCUGUGGAGUGGCGGUACCAGUUCAGGGGCGACGGACGAUUGGUCCUGGCCUACGACGGCAAGGGCGACCGAUUGGCUGAUACCUGGGAGGCAGGGGCGGGGCUGGACAUCGACGCCCUCCACAAGACAGGAAACGCAUCACUGAUCCUGCAGGAAGCCCAGGUGCGCCACUCUGGAACGUACAUCUGCACGGUGUAUCUGCCCUAUCUGCUGGCUCAGGUGGCGGUGGACCUGGAGAUAGUGGAGCCCCCCUCCCUCUCCAUCUUCCCCUCCCCGCUCCCCCUCUCCGCCCCGGGCCAGCUGGUGGUGGUGCAGUGUGAGGCGUCAGGCUUCGCCCCCCUGUCCCUGGAGCUGGGCUGGGAGCUGAGCGGGGCAGGGGGGGUCCAGGACCUGGGCCGGGGCAGCGUGACGGGCCACAGGCAGGCCUCUGACGGCACCUACAGCCAGCGCUCCCGUCUGGAGCUGGACCCAGCCAGGGUGGGGGGUGAGCGGGGGGGGCAGGUCAGCUGUGUGGCCGUCCACCAGGGGGGCACCCGACGAGUCAGCGUCUCCCUCAACGUGAUUGGAAUCAGCACUCCCUCUAUUGAGGAUUCCAUGGCGAUGGUUGCCGUGGCGCUGGGACUCUAUGGUUUGAUGAAGGUCUUCUCCUGGACAAUCAGCAGCUCUGACUCCACUGCUGCUGACACACAGGAGAAGGCUGGCUUGGUGUUUAGUUAACCAUCCUUCUAACGUGUCUCUGUUGCAGAAGGAGAAUUAAACAAUAGGAGCUGCAUAGGGGCCAGGGUGGUGCCUGAGAACUGAAGAGACCAGGACUGUUUGUAAAUGUGCACAUGUAUACUUUUCUCUAAAGAAGUAAAGUGGCUGAUUGGUUGUUAAUAUUCUUCUUUCUCUCUGAUGAUAUUGCAGUAGAGACAGUAAUUUACUGUAGACGUUUUGUACAGAAUGAGGGAGUUGAGUUUUGAGAGUUGAGUAGUGUUGUUGUUUUCUCUCAUGUCAUAUUUAGGCAGGAUGGUUGACCUUUUUCUUUCACUGAUUGUAGCUGCAAAUUUGUAUAAAUUGAAUAAAACGUGAUUGUUUUUUAUAACAAA